rnacentral:rRNA from 1 species
GUCGAACGAACUCUGGUAUUGAUUGGUGCUUGCAUCAUGAUUUACAUUUGAGAGAGUGGCGAACUGGUGAGUAACACGUGGGAAACCUGCCCAGAAGCGGGGGAUAACACCUGGAAACAGAUGCUAAUACCGCAUAACAACUUGGACCGCAUGGUCCGAGUUUGAAAGAUGGCUUCGGCUAUCACUUUUGGAUGGUCCCGCGGCGUAUUAGCUAGAUGGUGGGGUAACGGCUCACCAUGGCAAUGAUACGUAGCCGACCUGAGAGGGUAAUCGGCCACAUUGGGACUGAGACACGGCCCAAACUCCUACGGGAGGCAGCAGUAGGGAAUCUUCCACAAUGGACGAAAGUCUGAUGGAGCAACGCCGCGUGAGUGAAGAAGGGUUUCGGCUCGUAAAACUCUGUUGUUAAAGAAGAACAUAUCUGAGAGUAACUGUUCAGGUAUUGACGGUAUUUAACCAGAAAGCCACGGCUAACUACGUGCCAGCAGCCGCGGUAAUACGUAGGUGGCAAGCGUUGUCCGGAUUUAUUGGGCGUAAAGCGAGCGCAGGCGGUUUUUUAAGUCUGAUGUGAAAGCCUUCGGCUCAACCGAAGAAGUGCAUCGGAAACUGGGAAACUUGAGUGCAGAAGAGGACAGUGGAACUCCAUGUGUAGCGGUGAAAUGCGUAGAUAUAUGGAAGAACACCAGUGGCGAAGGCGGCUGUCUGGUCUGUAACUGACGCUGAGGCUCGAAAGUAUGGGUAGCAAACAGGAUUAGAUACCCUGGUAGUCCAUACCGUAAACGAUGAAUGCUAAGUGUUGGAGGGUUUCCGCCCUUCAGUGCUGCAGCUAACGCAUUAAGCAUUCCGCCUGGGGAGUACGGCCGCAAGGCUGAAACUCAAAGGAAUUGACGGGGGCCCGCACAAGCGGUGGAGCAUGUGGUUUAAUUCGAAGCUACGCGAAGAACCUUACCAGGUCUUGACAUACUAUGCAAAUCUAAGAGAUUAGACGUUCCCUUCGGGGACAUGGAUACAGGUGGUGCAUGGUUGUCGUCAGCUCGUGUCGUGAGAUGUUGGGUUAAGUCCCGCAACGAGCGCAACCCUUAUUAUCAGUUGCCAGCAUUAAGUUGGGCACUCUGGUGAGACUGCCGGUGACAAACCGGAGGAAGGUGGGGAUGACGUCAAAUCAUCAUGCCCCUUAUGACCUGGGCUACACACGUGCUACAAUGGAUGGUACAACGAGUUGCGAACUCGCGAGAGUAAGCUAAUCUCUUAAAGCCAUUCUCAGUUCGGAUUGUAGGCUGCAACUCGCCUACAUGAAGUCGGAAUCGCUAGUAAUCGCGGAUCAGCAUGCCGCGGUGAAUACGUUCCCGGGCCUUGUACACACCGCCCGUCACACCAUGAGAGUUUGUAACACCCAAAGUCGGUGGGGUAACC